rnacentral:misc_RNA from 1 species
UCUUGUAUGAGCAAAGCAGCAUGAAGUCCCUUACCUAGGAAUUCCUUUAUCCAGCACUUUUAUUGCUGCAUAGUGAACAGUGAUGUGGACGUCAAGUUAGUUGGCUGUAAAUCCUUCAUCAUGCGGUAAAUGUGCACGAGUACCUAAACAUGCUGCAUCCCUUAUGCUUUGAAAGACCAAUGCAGUACUUUGACUUGUUGCUGAAGGUAGUGGUGUGAAGCAUCUUUUUUUUAAAUGCUCUUCUUGGCAUUUUUGCGUAUUUAAGAACCUGAACGCAGCCACAUAUGGGUGCAGAAUUUAAUAAAAAUAUGUUUUUUUUGUGGCAAUAUGGCUGGUGGCAUUCAACUGUUUUGAUACCUCUUCCAUAACACAUGUGUAAUUUGUGGUGUAAAGUUACUGGCAUUUACAGAUGGUAGGCUCUCUAUGAGCCACAUAACUGUGUUAUUUUCUUUUUCUGCAUUUCUGUGAAGUGAUGUAAAUACCAUUUUGCUUUUAGAAUCAGUCAUUCCAAUAGCUGAAGUCAAUUCUGGGAUCACCCCGUCUUCUGUGGAACCUGCCAUGUGCAUCAAACAGUGCAGAGUUCCUUCUUAUUCGUUAUGCUCCCAUGAGUAGCAGAUUCACCUAUGAACAAAUGCUGGCAAGGUAACACUUAUUGUGAAACUAACAGUUCGAAGAUGGGACAAAGAGGGCAAGAAACAGACACAGCAAAUAACACUUCGUUGUGUCUGUUUCUUGCCCUCAGUCACAAGUCAUGCACCAGCUAGUCAAAAUGAACACAAUCGUAAUGUAGCACUACCUGUUAAUACCUGCAUAGUGCAAGCUGAGUGCAAGGUCAUGAGCGGCACUGGCUAACACUUGCAAGGUCAGAGCUUGUACACAUUCACAAAUACCCAAGAAAGUGGAUGGAAGAACAGCUGUCACCAUAGCUCAAUUCGUUGAGCAUCAUGCAUGUAAUGAGAAAGAACACAGAUUGCUGGUCUUCACUACAACGAAAAUAGCAGUAGAGCUACGCUGACCUAUGUGAAUGGAGAUCAGCGAAUUUGCCAGUGAUUUUCUUGAGGAGAACGAAGUGGACUGUGACACCAAUGAAACAAAGCAAGAUAGAGGUAUGUGUCCAUCCUCAUCAGCAAUGUCUUGGAUUGCAUCAAGAGAAAUGGCCGUCCUUCUCUGCAGAUGAUAAAGAUUCUGCACAAUGACAUCAUGACGCUCUCUCCACCAUGUAUGACUCAAAGCCAAUAAAGCAGGAGUCACUGUUCGCCUUCUGCUCCACAGCACUGAAAGGUCAAGAAAGUGCAUCGCUGUGCAGCAACGCCAUAAGAUUUGCCAAACAAGAAUAAAAAAAUCCAUGCAGAAUA